AGAGUUUGAUCCUGGCUCAGGACGAACGCUGGCGGUGUGCUUCACACAUGCAAGUCGAGCGAAUGAAGUAGGUAGCUUGCUACUUAUGGAUUUAGCGGCGGACGGGUGAGUAAUAUAUAGGAAUCUGCCUUAGAGCGGGGAACAACAGACCGAAAGGUUUGCUAAUGCCCCAUAGGUAUGCAGUCUUCGGAUUGUAUAUUAAAGGAGUAAUCCACUCUAAGAUGAGCCUGUAUCCGAUUAGCUAGUUGGCGGGGUAAAGGCCCACCAAGGCUACGAUCGGUAGUUGGUCUGAGAGGAUGAUCAGCCACAAUGGGACUGAGACACGGCCCAUACUCCUACGGGAGGCAGCAGUGGGGAAUUUUACACAAUGGGGGAAACCCUGAUGUAGCGACACCGCGUGAACGAAGAAGCCUUUUGGGGUGUAAAGUUCUGUCGGCUGGAACGAAAAAAAUGACGGUACCAGCAAAGGAAGCAUCGGCUAACUACGUGCCAGCAGCCGCGGUAAGACGUAGGAUGCAAGCGUUGUCCGGACUUAUUGGGCGUAAAGAGUUCGUAGGCGGUUAUUUAAGUCUGGUGUUAAAUACUGUGGCCCAACCACAGAACUGCAUUGGAUACUGGAUGACUUGAGUGCGGUAGAGGCGAGUGGAAUUCCCAGUGUAGCGGUGAAAUGCGUAGA
rnacentral:rRNA from 1 species